UUGCCGGGGGACUGGCCCCAGCGGCUUGGCCCCCAGGCGUCUGUGGCAGUGCGUCCCCUCUCCGCGGGAUCGUCGCCAUGGUCCUGCGAUCCUAGGAGUCGGGCAAGGCCGAACCUGCCUGAAGAAACCUCAAGCGGAGAUUCAAGGAAGCACCACGUGAUCCCUAAGGAUCCCAAAGAUGCGUCGGGCAUGCAUGGGCGGUGUGAGGGUGCGUCUCCCUGACAGGUGUCCCCGCUGGGAUUUCGAGGAAUUAUCCGAUGAAAAGUAGAAGAGGUUGAAUGACUUUCAGUGGCCUUUUCUUCACAGGGCUCACCUGAAACUUCAUGUACCAUUGCACUUCCUGAGAAGCUGUCCCCAAUCCCAGGCUCCUAGCAAUGCUGUUCCAGUAAUCUCUCUUCUGUAAGACAGCCACUCCACCCACUGCAGUCUACAAGGAAAGCCUCCAUAGCUGUGGAUUUCUUUAGUACUAAGCUUCAAGAAACCAGCAACUUGCUUGAGAUGUGUCCCACUUCUCGUUCUGGGCCCAUGAAACUUGGAUGAAACUAUGCCUGCCAUCUGGUUCUUACUUCAGGGUCACGGACUUAAGAUUGCCCAUUCAUUCCUCUUUAAUAAGACAUCUUGGUGGACUAAUGGCUAACCAGUCCAUGAUCACACAUCACUGUGAUGGUGUCACACACUUGGUAUUUUUUAAUUUAGGGAAUGUUGUGAUCCAACAUGGCUGUCACGGACUUGAUGCAAUAAAGCAAACUGUAGCUGAGCUGAAAUUGAAUAGUCUUUCUCUACACUGAAACCAUAAAGUGUUAAUUACUCCAUGUUCGGUGGACAUAGUAAAAAACAUGACACAAACAUAUACACACAAUUUCCGUUAAUUAACUCCACAAUCUCAAGCUAUUGUAGUAUUUGUGGAUAUAAGGCUUUUAUUCUUGCCAAACUUCAAAACAGGAAAUCUUGUAUUUAUUAACUACAGGUAAGGCAUACAUGCAUACACACACACACACACACACACAAGUUCAUCUAGAACUAAGUUUUAGCCCAACUCCUAAAGAAUUUAUCAAAAUCCAAAAAAUAAAUUAAAAAUUAGGCUUUCUGGGUUAAAAGUUUGUUUUUUACUAAAUUUACUAAAAAAUCCACCAAUAAUGACACAGCAUUUAAACUUAGCCAUUUUUUCUUGAGAGAGAAUUUUCCACAUAUAAGCUAAUGUAGCUUAAUUCACAAAGCAAGGCACUGACAAUGCCUAAAUGAGUUCAUAUAACUCUAUAAACAAAUAGGUUUGGUCCUGGCCUCUUUAUUCAUUUUUAGUAACACUUGCAACUAUCUGCAUUCUAGUGAGAAUGUCCUCUAGAUCAACAAAAAUAAAAUAGAGCAGGCUUCAAGCACACUAAUUAGCAGCUCGUAAAACCUUACUCUACCAUACAGCCACAGAAAACAGCAAUGAUAAAAAUUAAGCAAUUAACACAAGAUUGACUAAGUUAUACUAAUUUUCCUUAGGGUUUGUAAAAUUUCAUGCUUGCAGUCAUAUGACUAACCCAAAUUAACAAAACAGCAUAAAACAUGUUUUUAACAAAACUCAGCAUAAAACAUGUUUAAGAUUAUAAACAAAGUUAUACCUUAACUAGGUCAUAAAAAGCUACAGCUAAUAUAAAAAUAAACUAUGAAAGUGAUUUAAUAUAUUCUGAAUACAUGAUAGCAAAGACCCAAACUGGGAAGAAAUACCCCAAUAUGCUUAGCCAUAAACUUAAUUAAAUUAACAAAGUUAUUCACUUUGUUAAUUCACCAGAGUAACUUUGUUAAUUCACCAGAGUACUACCAGCAACAGCUUAAAACACAAAGGACUUGGCAGUGCUUAUAUCCCUUUUUUUUUGUAAUCAAUAAACCCCAGUAAACCUCACUAUCUCUUGCUAAUUCAGCCUAUACACCGCCAUCUUCUGCAAAACCUUAAAAGGUACUAAACACAAGUAUUUACAUAAAACGUUAGGUCAUGGUGCAGCUUAUAAAACAGAAAUAAAUGGGCUAUAUUUUCUAAUUAAAGAACAUUCCAUUUACAACAAACUUAAUGAAAUUUAAGGCGAAAGGAAAAUUUCAUAGUAAAUUAAGAACAGAGAGCUUAAUUGAAUAGGGCCAUGAAGUACGCACACAACCUUUCAUCACCCUCCUCAAAUAUUUCAAUAUA
rnacentral:lncRNA from 1 species